GUCCAUAGCAGCUCUUGUUUCUGAGGAACAAGGUCACGGGUCGUACCUAGUGAUGACCUGCUUGCUGGCAAGAGGCAGAGAAGGAGAGGGGGCAAGAGGAAACCAGCUCACCUCAGCAUUCUCCAUGGAAGGCCUGCUGGCACCUGAACAUGAGGACCUCUUCUCCGUGGGUGGUCACAUCCUGCCAAGGUAUGGCUGCUCUUUUGCUCAAUCCUCGCCAACGAUGGGGUCAGACAUGAGGCAGAGCCAGGGGAAGUAUCAUACCCGGAGGCCUCCAGAACUGUGAGAUCAAUAACCUCUUUUCAUGAUAAAGUAUCCCAUCACAGGUACGUUGUUAUAGCAAUACAAAAUAACCUACGAUAGGAUCUUCUGUUUAAUUUUGUUUUUUUUUCCAGAUGGGACUGGAGGCUGCCAUUUGCAAAGAGGAAAAAAAAAUUUUUUUAAUCUAACAUAUAUGUUAUUUUUUUUUCUGGUGUCAACUUUCAUCUUCUUACAGUUUUAGGUAAAAUGGUUGAGUACAUUGAUAGGUUCUAAGAAUGCCCUGCAUAAUCAUAAACAUCUAUAACAAGUGGACUCUAGAAAGUAAUCUCCAUAUUUUAGAAAAUGUGAUUUUUUUUUUUUACAUCUAUGUUUGAACCUGUGUUCCUGGGGAUGAUAGUGACCAUCUAGAUAGUCACCAGCCCCAUCUGGUAUCCCAUUUCCUUCCAUGAAUAUCUGUAUAGAAGGUGCUCAAAGGUUCCUGGUGACCCUGUUUAAGUGCAGACAGGACACCACACUGAAGAGUCCCCUGUGGAGCCAGGCCUUCUGCUGCUACAUCCUGAACUACAGGAAACAACCACCCAUGCCCUCCUGUGCCUUUGGUGCAGGUAGGACAAGAAUCAAGGCUUCACUGUCAUGACUGAACAGUAGCGGCGGCCACACAACACAGAAGCGGCGACCACCUGCCCACAUUCAGCCAGCUGUGGGUUUCAAGAAUUGCUCAUCAUGUCUGGGAAGAGUAGAAAGGAUGCUGUGUGGAGACUUGAUCUCCAUCCCCAGAUCUCACUUCCUUUGUUCCUGGCCCCAGAAGUCCCAGAAGAGAAUGCUUUCUGCAAACUUUUCGGGGAGCUGGGAAGUUUUUGAGAGAUCUGCUGUCUCUGCUCAGCUCCUGAAGUGUGAAAUGACAUUUCACUGUUUGAAUCCCAGUCAGUUCAAAGGCUUAUGCAGCAGCUCACCCAGGGGCAGCCACUCUCCACGUGGGGGUUCAUUAAAGGAGAGAGUAUCUGCCUUUGUGUUCCUCUCUUUGCCUGGAGGCUUUGAACCAGCUUGUUUUAGAUUAGCGCCUGUGCCUUUGCAUGACACAAUUGUUUUUUUCUCAGAACACAGUUUGGAGGUUAGUCAGAUUAUCCAGGACUCAGGGCUGGAAACUGUGGUCCUCUACCGAGUUCCCCUGGAAUCUUAUUUCCUUUUUGUUUCACUUUCUUUAAAAAAAAAAAAACCUUUGAAGUCGAUAGGUAUGUUCCUUAGAGCUCAGCUUGACUAAUACUAUUAAGGAACGCCAUGCUAACAAUGUCAUUCCUACUUCAGAUUAAAUUAUCUCAAUA